AUGGCUAAUAAAUCAACUGCUAUACCUGUCGGUAUUUGUGAGGAUGUGCCUGUUGUGGUUGCAAAUGUCACUAUCUUAACAGACUUUGUUAUUCUUGAUAUUCCUGAGGACGAUAGUAUGUCGAUUAUCCUUGGUAGACCCUUUUUGAAUACUGCAGGGGCUGUUAUUGAUUGCAACAAAGGCAAUGUCACUUUUCAAGUUAAUUGUAAUGAGCAUACAGUACUCUUUCCAAGGAAACAGCCUCAAGUUCAUAUCAUCAAUUCUAUUGGAAAAAUUCCAACUAUCAUUAUUGGAGGUUUUUAA
rnacentral:rRNA from 1 species